AAUCCAUGCUGUGGGCACUUCCACAAAAGAUAAUUGAAUCGCUCCCAUGCCUAAAACAAUAACUCAAGCUCCAUCUGAACAAAUAAUGAUAUCUCAUUGCGAAGCUU